rnacentral:rRNA from 1 species
UACGUAGGUGGCAAGCGUUAUCCGGAUUUAUUGGGCGUAAAGCGAGCGCAGGCGGUUGCUUAAGUCUGAUGUGAAAGCCUUCGGCUUAACCGGAGUAGUGCAUUGGAAACUGGGAGACUUGAGUGCAGAAGAGGAGAGUGGAACUCCAUGUGUAGCGGUGAAAUGCAUAGAUAUCGCGCAGAACUCCGAUUGCGAAGGCAGCGUACCGGCGCCACACUGACGCUGAGGCACGAAAGCGUGGGGAUCGAACAGG